GACGAACGCUGGCGGCGUGCUUAACACAUGCAAGUCGAACGGAAAGGCCCUGCUUUUGUGGGGUGCUCGAGUGGCGAACGGGUGAGUAACACGUGAGUAACCUGCCCUUGACUUUGGGAUAACUUCAGGAAACUGGGGCUAAUACCGGAUAGGAGCUCCUACUGCAUGGGGGUGGUUGGAAAGUUUCGGCGGUUGGGGAUGGACUCGCGGCUUAUCAGCUUGUUGGUGGGGUAGUGGCUUACCAAGGCUUUGACGGGUAGCCGGCCUGGGAGGGUGACCGGCCACAUUGGGACUAAGAUACGGCGCAGACUCCUACGGGAGGCAGCAGUGGGGAAUAUUGCACAAUGGGCGGAAGCCUGAUGCGGCAACGCCGCGUGCGGGAUGACGGCCUUCGGGUUGUAAACCGCUUUCGCCUGUGCCGAAGCGUGAGUGACGGUAAUGGGUAAAGAAGCACCGGCUAACUACGUG
rnacentral:rRNA from 1 species